AAUUGACCUCGGAUCAGGUAGGGAUACCCGCUGAACUUAAGCAUAUCAAUAAGCGGAGGA
rnacentral:rRNA from 1 species